GACGAACGCUGGCGGCAGGCUUAACACAUGCAAGUCGAACGAGUGGCGGACGGGUGUGUAGUGUUGGGGAAUCUGGCUUAUGGAGGGGGUUAACGACGGGAAACUGUCGCUAAUCCCGCAUACCAUAGGAUGAGCCCAAGUGGGAUUAGCUAGUUGGUGGGGUAAGGGCCUACCAAGGGGACGAUCAGUAGCGGGUUUGAGAGGAUGAUCCGCACCACUGGGACUGAGACACGGUCCAGACUCCUACGGGAGGAAGCAGUGGGGAAUUUUGGAAAAUGGGCGAAAGCCUGAUGCAGCCAUGCCGCGGGUCUGAAGAAGGCCUUCGGGUUGUAAAGUACUUUUGUUGGGGAAGCGGUACCUAAAGAAUAAGCACCGGCUAACUACGUGCCAGCAGCCGCGGUAAUAC
rnacentral:rRNA from 1 species